CAGUCGCCGCGGUAAUACGUAGGUCCCGAGUGUUGUCCGGAUUUAUUGGGCGUAAAGCGAGCGCAGGCGGUUAGAUAAGUCUGAAGUUAAAGGCUGUGGCUUAACCAUAGUACGCUUUGGAAACUGUUUAACUUGAGUGCAAGAGGGGAGAGUGGAAUUCCAUGUGUAGCGGUGAAAUGCGUAGAUAUAUGGAGGAACACCGGUGGCGAAAGCGGCUCUCUGGCUUGUAACUGUCGCUGAGGCUCGAAAGCGAGGGGAGCAAACAGGAUUAGAUACCCCAGUAGUCCCUGUCUCUUAUACC
rnacentral:rRNA from 1 species